rnacentral:rRNA from 1 species
UACGUAGGGCGCAAGCGUUGUCCGGAAUUAUUGGGCGUAAAGAGCUCGUAGGCGGUUUGUCGCGUCUGUCGUGAAAGCCCACGGCUUAACCGUGGGUCUGCGGUGGAUACGGGCAGACUAGAGGCAGGUAGGGGAGAAUGGAAUUCCCGGUGUAGCGGUGAAAUGCGCAGAUAUCGGGAGGAGCACCGGUGGCGAAGGCGGUUCUCUGGGCCUGUACUGACGCUGAGGAGCGAAAGCGUGGGGAGCGAACAGG